rnacentral:rRNA from 1 species
ACUCCUACGGGAGGCAGCAGUAGGGAAUCUUCGGCAAUGGGGGCAACCCUGACCGAGCAACGCCGCGUGAGUGAAGAAGGUUUUCGGAUCGUAAAGCUCUGUUGUAAGUCAAGAACGAGUGUGAGAGUGGAAAGUUCACACUGUGACGGUAGCUUACCAGAAAGGGACGGCUAACUACGUGCCAGCAGCCGCGGUAAUACGUAGGUCCCGAGCGUUGUCCGGAUUUAUUGGGCGUAAAGCGAGCGCAGGCGGUUUGAUAAGUCUGAAGUUAAAGGCUGUGGCUCAACCAUAGUUCGCUUUGGAAACUGUCAAACUUGAGUGCAGAAGGGGAGAGUGGAAUUCCAUGUGUAGCGGUGAAAUGCGUAGAUAUAUGGAGGAACACCGGUGGCGAAAGCGGCUCUCUGGUCUGUAACUGACGCUGAGGCUCGAAAGCGUGGGGAGCGAACAGGAUUAGAAACCCGUGUAGUCCCA